rnacentral:rRNA from 1 species
UACGUAGGGUGCAAGCGUUGUCCGGAUUUAUUGGGCGUAAAGAGCUCGUAGGCGGUCUGUCGCGUCGGAUGUGAAAACCCAGGGCUCAACCCUGGGCCUGCAUUCGAUACGGGCAGACUAGAGUAUGGCAGGGGAGACUGGAAUUCCUGGUGUAGCGGUGAAAUGCGCAGAUAUCAGGAAGAACACCCGUGGCGAAGGCGGCUCUCUGGGACGGUACUGACGCUGAGACGCGAAAGCGUGGGGAGCGAACAGG